AGGGCUGCGGUAAUUUGACCGUGCAAAGGUAGCAUAAUCAUUUGCUUAUUAAUUGUAAGCUGGCAUGAACGGCUUGACGAGAGAGCGACUGUCUCCUUUUUUACUAUGAACUUAACCUUUAAGUGAAAAGGCUUAAAUGUCUUGGAGGGACGAUAAGACCCUGUAAAACUUUAUAAUUCUUAAGGUUGAAAGGACUUACUUUUAAUUUGGAUGCUACUUAAGACUUAUUUUGCUGGGGCGGCAUAGAUAUAACAAGUAACUGUCUAUAAAAUAUAAUAAAUAUAAUUAGAUUGUGGUCUCUUUCUGAGGGUUAAGAGAACAAGUUACUUCAGGGAUAACAGCGUUAUUCUUCUUUAGAGCCCUUAUCGAUAGAAGUAGUUGCGACCUCGAUGUUGAAUUAAAGUUUCAAGAAGGUGCAGGAGCCUUCUCAGUAGGUCUGUUCGCCCUUUAAUACUUU
rnacentral:rRNA from 1 species